rnacentral:rRNA from 1 species
GAGGAUGCGAGCGUUAUCCGGAUUUAUUGGGUUUAAAGGGUGCGUAGGCCGGCCGGUAAGUCAGUGGUCAAAACGGGAGGCUCAACCUUCUGUCGCCAUUGAAACUGUCGGUCUUGAGUGAGCGAGAAGUAUGCGGAAUGCGUGGUGUAGCGGUGAAAUGCAUAGAUAUCACGCAGAACGCCGAUUGCGAAGGCAGCAUACCGGUGCUCAACUGACGCUGAAGCACGAAAGCGUGGGGAUCGAA